CUGGGAUAACUCCGGGAAACCGGAGCUAAUACCGGAUAACAUUUUCUCUUGCAUAAGAGAAAAUUGAAAGAUGGUUUCGGCUAUCACUUACAGAUGGGCCCGCGGUGCAUUAGCUAGUUGGUGAGGUAACGGCUCACCAAGGCAACGAUGCAUAGCCGACCUGAGAGGGUGAUCGGCCACACUGGGACUGAGACACGGCCCAGACUCCUACGGGAGGCAGCAGUAGGGAAUCUUCCGCAAUGGACGAAAGUCUGACGGAGCAACGCCGCGUGAGUGAUGAAGGCUUUCGGGUCGUAAAACUCUGUUGUUAGGGAAGAACAAGUACAAGAGUAACUGCUUGUACCUUGACGGUACCUAACCAGAAAGCCACGGCUAACUACGUGCCA
rnacentral:rRNA from 1 species